rnacentral:rRNA from 1 species
UACGUAGGGGGCUAGCGUUGUCCGGAAUCAUUGGGCGUAAAGCGCGCGUAGGCGGUCAGGUAAGUCCGGUGUGAAAGUCAAAGGCUCAACCUUUGAAUGCCGCUGGAUACUGCCUGACUUGAGUCCGGAAGGGGCGAGUGGAAUUCCUGGUGUAGCGGUGAAAUGCGCAGAUAUCAGGAAGAACACCAGUGGCGAAGGCGGCUCACUGGCCCGGUACUGACGCUGAGGUGCGAAAGCGUGGGGAGCAAACAGG